UAAAAGUAAUACAGCUAAGGAUUUUUUUAAAAAAUCAUUUUUAGGCCUCUAUAGGGAGCAAUAUUUAACUUAUAAUAUGAAAGCCUAUUAAUCAGCUUUCAGAUAUUGAGCAUUAAAUGACAUUUUUAGGGAUGAAGACAACAGCAAAGUUGAAUUUAGACCUUGUCAAAAUUUAAGGAGGUCUCCAACAUUAAGGUGUUCCCAACUCCCCAAAAGAAUAUAAGUAUAUUCAAAUAAUGAGUUAGCAAAGUUACCAAGUACAAUGGUGAAAGAAAAAAAAAGAAUACCUGCCCAUAAGAUGUUGUGAAAAAAUACGAGGAUCAAACAUAAAAAAAAAAAUUCAGAUGUAACCACCCACAAAUUUGGGGGCCACAUUCACAUUCAGCAGGAAAUCUUAAGGAGGAGAAUUUAUUCUAAAGUGGUUCUGGGCUGGUUGUGUAGAGAAUAUAAGGUUAAAGGAUAUGUACAUUCAAAUUGACUUUCAACUUAAAAGAUUGCCUACAAUCCUUCCAAAGGCUCCACUGCUCCCAGUUUGAUCUGCCUUCAUGGAAUCACAGAGAUAGCCUAUGUUGGAAGCCAAAGCUGUGUAAUACCCUGACUAUAAUCAUCAUUCUCAGUGCUUUCCUUUACUGUUAUUACCUGAGUGGGAAUAUUACCCUGGCUGAAUUUGGAGUCCCUCUCUCACCAACUGUCCAGCCAUUUCCAAAGUGAGUUUAAUGAGUAUUCUUAUAUCUCUAGUGUUAGCAGAAGACUAGACAACAGAGUGCAUUGAACAGGACUCUCCUGGGCAACGCUGGAACCUCAGACCAGCAUGGGUCAUUUGAACCCAUUCAAUGAAUUAGCGUCUACACAAUGUAUGUAAUCAAGGCCAUCAAGAUGAGAGUAAGGAACUUGCCAUCCAGAAUCUGUGGCUUUUUGUCACAGGACUACAGAACCAACCUCCUUUUGUCUCCAAGCAUGAAGAGCCAGUAUCUGAGAAUUAAAGUCCUCCAGAGAGUAGACUUUAGCUAAUAAUUGGUAGAUAUAUAGUUAUAAGUAUUCCAGCUCUGUUGUUCUGUUUGAGACAACUGUGAUUUGUGACCUGUAUUGUCUCCAGUGUCCCCCUAUUGGAUUGUGCCAAAGUGAUCCUAAAUGGUACCUUGGUUGAUAUCAAAAUAUUGUUCGGCCUUCUUCCUCUCCCUGUUGCAUGGUCCCACUCCCUGGUCACUAUAUUUUUACUUGGACCACUUCCUAAUAUAUCACUUUCCGAUGAGUCCUCAAUCAGAGUCAGCUUAUGGGGAACCCAAUCUAAAGGCACAGCCAAGUUGUUUUCCAAAAUAUUUCUUUUACUUUACACUCUUGCCCUCAAUGUUUGUGGUCCCAUUUCCUCACUAGUAUUUGGUACCAUCGGUCUAACUUUUUGUCAAGUGUGUUGCUUUAAUUACUUUGUAUUGACUAAAUUUAUAUGUUAACUAUGCAUAUUAACUUUUUGGAGUGAUCACUAAAAUAAUGUAAAUAGAAUGUAUAACUUCUUAAUGAGUAGAAAAAAGUAAUGAAUUAAUACAAGGAACUUAGAACGUUUUAAUUACAAAUAAUUGCCUCCCAGGGUAAAUGUUCUUCUUCUCAUUACUUUAGCUCUGUUUUUUCAUCUUCAAAUUAGACAUUUAUGCUAUUGUUUGUUUAGAUUUAGCCAUGUAUUUGCCAUUUUCUUUGCCAGCAUUCCAGACAUUUAUACUAGUACAUUUUCCUUCUUCUAAAGUAUAUCCUAUAGAUAUACUCCUUUAAUAAUGGUCUAUUAGGGAAACUGUGAUGUCUUUCAUUUUCUGAAAAGUUAUUUUAUCCUCAUUCUUUUAAAAUUAUUCUUGUUGAGUCUCUUUGACUUGUGGAACCAUUCAUAUCUCUUUUUUUCUAUAUAAUAUUGUAUUAUGUACCACCAAAACCUUAGUGAUGCAAUAGUUCUUAAAUGACAAUUUCACUUUUUUGUCCUAAAUUUUUCCCGUUAAUCCAUCGUCAUCAGUUUGGCAAGUUUUGAUACAGGUGCUUUUAAUGUUUGCAUGUAAGCAGGCAGUAACUAUUAUGUCACAGCAGCCCCUGGGCCAACAACAAUUCAUAAUUUUGAUUGAUUGUAAUAAACACCUUGAUAUAAGAGAUAUUAAAAAGUGACAAAUUUGAAUAGAAUUGAUGGAAACAGCAUUAUUCUGUAGUCUUUUAGCUUCCAUUUUUGCUAUUAAAAAAUUAUUUGUCAGCC
rnacentral:lncRNA from 1 species